GAGUUUGAUCGUGGCUCAGAACGAACGCUGGCGGCAGGCCUAACACAUGCAAGUCGAGCGAACCUUCGGGUUAGCGGCGGACGGGUUAGUAACGCGUGGGAACGUGCCUCUCUCUACGGAAUAGUCCCGGGAAACUGGGUUUAAUACCGUAUACGCCCUUUGGGGGAAAGAUUUAUCGGAGAGAGAUCGGCCCGCGUUGGAUUAGGUAGUUGGUGGGGUAAUGGCCUACCAAGCCGACGAUCCAUAGCUGGUUUGAGAGGAUGAUCAGCAACACUGGGACUGAGACACGGCCCAGACUCCUACGGGAGGCAGCAGUGGGGAAUCUUAGACAAUGGGGGAAACCCUGAUCUAGCCAUGCCGCGUGGACGAUGAAGGCCUUAGGGUUGUAAAGUCCUUUCGCUGGGGAAGAUAAUGACGGUACCCAGUAAAGAAGCCCCGGCUAACUCCGUGCCAGCAGCCGCGGUAAC
rnacentral:rRNA from 1 species